AUCUCAGCCGCCCAGGCGCCCUCGCAGCACACGGAGCCCGCGCGCUCCCGCCCUUUCCCUCCCAGCGCUCGCAGCAGUGUUUGGGGUGCCAGGUGGCUUGGCGAACGAGAUUUUUUUUUAAGCUACAAAGAAAACUAAUACAUUCUUGAAGUGAUCACCAAAGAUCCGAGCUCGAAAGCGUUUCUCGGGAACACAGGUGCAUGGCUUGUUUUGGCAUGGUUGCUAAAACUGCGAGUCCCAG
rnacentral:lncRNA from 1 species